UUCGAAUUUGGUUUUAAUGUAAAAACCCUUAUGUGCAAGUUUCUUAGUGUCGUUUCUUUUCCAUCGACAGUUUGGUACUGAGUGCCUAGUGUGGUGGACCAUCAAAUUGAUGCUAACAUCUGCUUCUGUUAAGAUCUUGAAAGAAUAGCCAAAACUACAUUAAUUUUGACAACAGUUUUUAGUUUCAGACGACUGAAAACCUAGCCGCAGUUGAAAUCAUUGUAUUUAUAAGGGACCUGCUGGCAUACUCAGCUGAUCUUAGUGCCGACCUGUAUCGUCCACACCCACAGAGGAUGACAAUUGCGUUGAUCUUCAUUUUUGGUACUACCCCCUGGAGCUGGAACUCACCCAACGGAUGUCGAAGUCUUCACUGAGUCACAAGGUAGUUGGCAUGAUGGAUAACAGUAUUACAGAUCUAGACGAAGAAAUAAAGGACAGAGAAGAACGUUGCUGGGGAAUCGGAAAAGAAAGGAAAACCAAGCCUUCAAAAACGUCUGAAAAUGGAAGGAACGUACACUUAAAUGUAAACGAUUUUUUUUUUAAUAUGAAACAAAAUGUAGAGAUAGGAGUUGGAAAUAGUAGAUGGAAAAAGGAAAAUGGAAAAUACGUACGGAGAAACAAGAAGCAAAGGAAAAAUUAGUAAAAAUCGUAGUUAAAACGAAUGAAAAGAAAGAGAAAAGCGGUUAAAAAAGAAAGAAAUGAAAAAACGAUGAUAUUUGAAAAGAUGAAAAUAAAAGAUAGAAUGGCGCAGACUGAAUAGGAAAAUAAAUCUAGAACAUAGGAAGAGAGGACAAKAAAAAGAUGUGAAGAACAUAAUCAAAAAGAAUG